UACGUAGGGUGCGAGCGUUAAUCGGAAUUACUGGGCGUAAAGCGUGCGCAGGCGGUUCGUUGUGUCGGCGGUGAAAGCCCCGGGCUUAACCUGGGAAUGGCCGUUGAAACUGGCGAACUGGAGUGUGGCAGAGGGGGGUGGAAUUCCGCGUGUAGCAGUGAAAUGCGCAGAGAUGCGGAGGAACACCGAUGGCGAAGGCAGCCCCCUGGGCUGACACUGACGCUCAGGCACGAAAGCGUGGGGAGCAAAAGGG
rnacentral:rRNA from 1 species